GUUGAAAAGCAGAAAGCCCCCCGCUUUCUCGCCAAUAUUGCGUAAGCUACUUGGCAUCAAAAUGAAUUUAUUCUCUGGUUUCAGAGUUCAUUUAUAGCGGGCUUUCUACGGAAAGUCCGUUUUGUUUUUCAAUG
rnacentral:sRNA from 1 species